rnacentral:misc_RNA from 1 species
UCAAAAACAAAAUCCCUAAAUAACCUCUCUACAAGUACAAAACAAAUACAAACAGGCCACCCCAUCUUCAAUGAAAGUGUUGAAGAACAAUGUGGCUUGUAAAGACUGUUGUGACAUCUACACUGACAUCUGAUAAGACCUGUGAUUUCUACAACAAAACCUAUACAGAAUCCAGACCGAGACGGGCUUAAAUGGAGCAACCAAACAAUGAGGAUCCAUAUGGCACUGACCCCAACUCGCUUGAGAUUGAAGCAUAGUUGUUGAUGUUGUAGUACCAAUAAAGAAUCUGAUAUGAGAUCUAUAGCUCGGUGUCCAUUUGCAUAAAUAACUCUCUCCGCGGCCAAUUUUCUUCACUAUCUGAUGUAAACAAGGCUACAGAUAUGUCAGCUAGUUUCUUCUGACUUAAACGAGUCCUCGGAAACUUUGCUUGCCUAGGAGCAUUAGGCAAUUCAACAUCAUUAGACUCAUUCCAAUCAUCCAUAUCAGUAGCAUUCUUAAAACCAAGUGUCUUUUUUGGUGUACUAUAUUCAAAAUGCCAUCUUUUUG